UAUGAGGCAGUGAAGAAGUAAAGUACAACGCCCCUCUACGACACAGAGAGACUGUGGUGGUGAAAACAGUCCGUAUGGGAAGGUUGGAAGUGGGCUUCGGAGCCUUCUACCCCGAACAAAGUAAGGGUGGACGCGUACUCAGGCGUUAGUGAGAAGUGAUUUCGACAAUUCGAAAUAACAAGGGUGGUACCACGGUUCAUUCGUCCCUUCU
rnacentral:ncRNA from 1 species